rnacentral:rRNA from 1 species
UGGGGAAUAUUGCACAAUGGGCGCAAGCCUGAUGCAGCGACGCCGCGUGAGGGAUGACGGCCUUCGGGUUGUAAACCUCUUUCAGUAGGGAAGAAGCGAAAGUGACGGUACCUGCAGAAGAAGCGCCGGCUAACUACGUGCCAGCAGCCGCGGUAAUACGUAGGGCGCAAGCGUUAUCCGGAAUUAUUGGGCGUAAAGCGCUCGUAGGCGGUUUGUCGCGUCUGCCGGGAAAGUCCGGGGCUCAACUCC